AAUUGAAUUAAAAUUGUGUACUACGUGGGCAGGCUGUGAUAGGUAAUUAAGUUUAUUGAUUAUGCUGCAGCUCGGUUUGUCAGAUGUACAGCGCACCCUGCACUAUAAUUGCUGUUAUAUAUACUGGACAGAGCCAGUCUCAGAUGGUGCAAACUGGCACGAGGCCAUUCCUUCAGCAGCAGCUUUCUCCAGUUCUGGACUUUGUGUUACUGCUUUCUGUAAGAGGUUCAUAAGCAUAACAGAUGAACCUCAUCUUGCUCGAGAAUGUUGUAAAAUUAGACAUUUAUCUGUCUCAAGAACCACAUGGACUGAAUGGUCCAUAAACCUCCUCUCUAAGCCAGUGGUGAUUUAUAGGUUCAAAUGGAGGCUAUGCUGAAUUUUCACUUUGCAGCCAGAAGCAGAAAUUGCAUUUGACUGGGGACCACACUGAGCACUGUCAGAUUUGUAUUUGAAGUCCUAAACUCAAUGCAGAGUUUGUUGGGUUGCGAAUGGGAAAGAAUAAAACUAAAUAUUUGCAGAACACUUCUUCUCCAGGAGCACAAAUACCAGAUUUUAUUCAAACCAGCCAUAGUUUUCCAUGGAGCAAGAAGAAUGCGGUUUGAUGCUAGUGCUAAAAUGAAGCGCUGGGAGCAGUGGGAAAAGGAAACUGAGAAGGAGUCCAUGUCUGCAGGAGAAGCCUGCAGGGCAGGUGAGGGAGCAUGCAGUCACACUGGCGUCUGCAUCACGGUAAGGACAUGAAGGCGUUAAUCCAGCAAACCUCAGAAGUCACAGAGGAGACCUAUGGGAUUUCUGCUGCAGUCAGCGGGGCUGCUCACAGUUUUAAAGCCAUGCUUUGCUGAAGGAAGUCUCUCAAGCUCAGCUUUCAAGGGACUGAGAAGCUUUUGAAAAUUGGGUACUGAGCAUCCAGUUUUAGUUGGGAAUAAUGCUUUCUCUUCUCCAUAUGAUACACCUGAACUUCAGGAACCAGUCAAAUUAACUUAGCUUUCCUGUAUUAUGCAAUAUAUAUUGCCUCCAGAUACUCACCUUGAAGCCAGUACCUAUUUCCUAGCCAGAAGGCUGAAAAAUACUCUGAGAAAUGUCUCUGAAAUCGUUAUUUCUGAAAUGUGAUAAUCCAGCUUGAAGGAGAAGAAAGCAGUAAACCUAUUUUUGAGUAUGCUAAGGGAUUUUUUUUCCUUUAUGUCUCUUCCUCUCUAUCCAAAUCCUUGAGUCCGUUUAUUGCCUUCUUUGAUUGAAAUGCUUCGUUGCUGAAGGGCUGCUUCUGCUGGGCUCUGGCUGCUGGUGAGCACUUUAGUUUCAAAACGUGCACACAGAGAAUGUGUCAUUAGGGAAGAAGGUGCUGCUGAGGGGAAGUCAAGGUUAAGGUUAUCUCCUCUGAAUAUCAGACAAGAUGCUAAAGAGGUAUCUUUAUUUUCACAUAUAUAUUUAAAAAAUGAUUUUAAAACCUCUACUGAAG
rnacentral:lncRNA from 1 species